AGUCCAUGCUGUGGGCACUUCCAUAACAGAUCCUUGAAUCACUCCCAUGCCUCAAACAAGGACUCGAGCUCUAUCUGAACAAACGACGAUAUCUUAUUGAGAAGCUU